rnacentral:rRNA from 1 species
CCUACGGGAGGCAGCAGUGGGGAAUUUUGGACAAUGGGGGCAACCCUGAUCCAGCAAUGCCGCGUGAGUGAAGAAGGCCUUCGGGUUGUAAAGCUCUUUUGUCGGGGAAGAAACGGUUNNNCNUAAUACANNNNACUAAUGACGGUACCCGAAGAAUAAGCACCGGCUAACUACGUGCCAGCAGCCGCGGUAAU